AAAAAAAAAAAAAAAAAAGAAUAUGAAGGUAACUCCCAUGCAUAUAUGCAGCAUUGGCAAUGAAGGAGAAACCAUAUGAAUAAGGAAUAUAGGAGAAGAUUUAUAUUAACACUGCCCAACCAAACUAAGCAAAACCGAGAUCAAAAAGUCCCCAACUUUGACAAGAAGCAGCUAUAAAAAAUAAUAAUCUCAUGAACACAAAACCGAUAAAGGAAUACCCAACUGCUCGUAUUGCUUUCCUUUAACACCUAUAAGAGAAAGAAAGUUGAGUUUUUUCUUUGUCUUCUUUCUUGCUCCAUCAAUAAAGACGUUACCCAAGAACAGGAAGAGAUUUUCUGCAAGAAGCAUUAAAUCACACCCAUAAGUGGGCUCCUUUAAAGUUCAUCAUCAUAAGUAAAAAAUACUCCAUUUUUAGCAAAAGAUGAUUCUCCUAGCGACCCUUUAUCAUGUUGGUUAUAGUAUUUAGAUGGAAAAUGGCUGUGGAAGAAAAUUUGGGGUGAGGUAGAUUUGUUGAAGAUGGUGGUUGCAGGAAGUAUU
rnacentral:misc_RNA from 1 species